rnacentral:rRNA from 1 species
AAUUACCCAAUCCUGACACAGGGAGGUAGUGACAAGAAAUAACAACGCUGGAAAUUUUAUUUCUAGUGAUUGGAAUGAUGGGAAUCCAAACCCCUUUCAGAGUAACAAUUGGAGGGCAAGUCUGGUGCCAGCAGCCGCGGUAAUUCCAGCUCCAAUAGCGUAUAUUAAAGUUGUUGCAGUUAAAAAGCUCGUAGUUGGAUUUCUGUUGGAAGCAACCAGUCCGCCUUGAAUUGGGUGUGCACUUGGUGAAUUCUGACAUGAUACUCCUGAUGAUAGUAGUAUACUACCUCGUGUGUAUAUUAUUGUUGUUAGGACCGUUACUUUGAGAAAAUUAGAGUGUUUCAAGCAGGCUUGUUGCCUUGAAUACUGCAGCAUGGAAUAACAAGAUAGGAUUUCGGUUCUCUUUUUUGUUGGUUUCUAGGACUGAAGUAAUGAUUAAUAGGGACAGUUGGGGGCAUUCGUAUUUAA